GCCAGAGUCAUAUCUCCCUGCAGUUCUCGCUUAGUUUCCCGCAGAAACUAAGUAGGGUUGAGCCUGGCCAGUACCUGGAUGAGUGACCUCCUGGGGAAAACUAAGCUUGCUGCUGGAA
rnacentral:rRNA from 1 species